UACAGAGGUCCCAAGCGUUGUUCGGAUUCAUUGGGCGUAAAGGGUGCGUAGGCGGCGCGGUAAGUCGGGUGUGAAAUCUCGGAGCUUAACUCCGAAACUGCAUUCGAUACUGCCGUGCUUGAGGACUGGAGAGGAGACUGGAAUUUACGGUGUAGCGGUGAAAUGCGUAGAUAUCGUAAGGAAGACCAGUGGCGAAGGCGGUUCUCUGGGCAUGUCCUGACGCUGAGGAGCGAAAGUGUGGGGAGCGAACAGG
rnacentral:rRNA from 1 species